CAGCAGCCGCGGGAAUACGAAGGGUGCAAGCGUUAAUCGGAAUUACUGGGCGUAAAGCGUGCGUAGGCGGUUUGUUAAGUCUGCUGUGAAAUCCCCGGGCUCAACCUGGGAAUGGCAGUGGAUACUGGCAAGCUAGAGUGUGUCAGAGGAUGGUGGAAUUCCCGGUGUAGCGGUGAAAUGCGUAGAGAUCGGGAGGAACAUCAGUGGCGAAGGCGGCCAUCUGGGACAACACUGACGCUGAGGCACGAAAGCGUGGGGAGCAAACAGGAUUAGAUACCCGAGUAGUCCCUGUCUCUUAUAA
rnacentral:rRNA from 1 species